rnacentral:rRNA from 1 species
CGGCGGACGGGUGAGUAACACGUGGGUAACCUACCUAUAAGACUGGGAUAACUUCGGGAAACCGGAGCUAAUACCGGAUAAUAUUUCGAACCGCAUGGUUCGAUAGUGAANAGAUGGUUUUGCUAUCACUUAUAGAUGGACCCGCGCCGUAUUAGCUAGUUGGUAAGGUAACGGCUUACCAAGGCGACGAUACGUAGCCGACCUGAGAGGGUGAUCGGCCACACUGGAACUGAGACACGGUCCAGACUCCUACGGGAGGCAGCAGUA